rnacentral:rRNA from 1 species
CUACGGGGGGCAGCAGUGAGGAAUAUUGCACAAUGGGGGAACCCUGAUGCAGCAACGCCGCGUGGAGGAUGACGCAUUUCGGUGUGUAAACUCCUUUUAUAUGUCAAGAAAAUGACGGUAGCAUAUGAAUAAGCACCGGCUAACUCCGUGCCAGCAGCCGCGGUAAUACGGAGGGUGCAAGCGUGUACUCGGAAUCACUGGGCGUAAAGGACGCGUAGGCGGGUUGGAAAGUCAGGUGUGAAAUCCUACAGCUUAACUGUAGAACUGCACUUGAAACUUCUAAUCUAGAGUAUGGGAGGGGGAGAUGGAAUUAGUGGUGUAGGGGUAAAAUCCGUAGAUAUCACUAGGAAUACCUAAAGCGAAGGCGAUCUCCUGGAACAUUACUGACGCUAAGGCGUGAAAGCGUGGGGAGCAAACAGGAUUAGAUACCCGGGUAGUC